AUGUAUCGUGCAUGUAUCUUUCCAGUAAUGUUCUGUGAUGUCCUGAUGCACUUUGGAGGUUUGUCUAUGCACGCAGUUCAUCAAUAUGCCAUCAUCCAUCUGUGCAGAAACUCGUGGGUGUUCUAUCUAAUGGCUGCUGUGUUUAAUUUUUCCUUGUUCCCUGUCUACCAUAACAUCAAUGGUCAUUUCAUGCUGUUCGGUCAAAUGAUCAUUAUUUACCCCUGCCUUUGCUGGUUAAUUUGUGAUUUUAUGAGGUAUGACCAAGGGUGUAAACCUUCUUCAUGUGAUUUUAUGAGUUAUGACAAAGGCUGUAAACCUUCUUCACUGGAAAUUGCUACAUUAGAAGGAUUUCUGUUGGCUUAA
rnacentral:rRNA from 1 species